GGUUAAGCGACUAAGCGUACACGGUGGAUGCCCUGGCAGUCAGAGGCGAUGAAGGACGUGCUAAUCUGCGAAAAGCGUCGGUAAGGUGAUAUGAACCGUUAUAGCCGGCGAUGUCCGAAUGGGGAAACCCAGUGCAAUUCGUUGCACUAUCGUUAACUGAAUACAUAGGUUAACGAGGCGAACCGGGGGAACUGAAACAUCUAAGUACCCCGAGGAAAAGAAAUCAACCGAGAUUCCCCCAGUAGCGGCGAGCGAACGGGGAGCAGCCCAGAGUCUGAAUCAGCUUGUGUGUUAGUGGAACGGUCUGGAAAGUCCGACGGUACAGGGUGAUAGUCCCGUACACCAAAAUGCACAGGUUGUGAACUCGAAGAGUAGGGCGGGACACGUGGUAUCCUGUCUGAAUAUGGGGGGACCAUCCUCCAAGGCUAAAUACUCCUGACUGACCGAUAGUGAACCAGUACCGUGAGGGAAAGGCGAAAAGAACCCCGGCGAGGGGAGUGAAAAAGAACCUGAAACCGUGUACGUACAAGCAGUGGGAGCACCUUCGGGUGUGACUGCGUACCUUUUGUAUAAUGGGUCAGCGACUUAUAUUCUGUAGCAAGGUUAACCGUAUAGGGGAGCCGCAGGGAAACCGAGUCUUAACUGGGCGUUAAGUUGCAGGGUAUAGACCCGAAACCCGGUGAUCUAGCCAUGGGCAGGUUGAAGGUUGGGUAACACUAACUGGAGGACCGAACCGACUAAUGUUGAAAAAUUAGCGGAUGACUUGUGGCUGGGGGUGAAAGGCCAAUCAAACCGGGAGAUAGCUGGUUCUCCCCGAAAGCUAUUUAGGUAGCGCCUCGUGAACUCAUCUUCGGGGGUAGAGCACUGUUUCGGCUAGGGGGUCAUCCCGACUUACCAACCCGAUGCAAACUACGAAUACCGAAGAAUGUUAUCACGGGAGACACACGGCGGGUGCUAACGUCCGUCGUGAAGAGGGAAACAACCCAGACCGCCAGCUAAGGUCCCAAAGUCAUGGUUAAGUGGGAAACGAUGUGGGAAGGCACAGACAGCCAGGAUGUUGGCUUAGAAGCAGCCAUCAUUUAAAGAAAGCGUAAUAGCUCACUGGUCGAGUCGGCCUGCGCGGAAGAUGUAACGGGGCUAAACCAUGCACCGAAGCUGCGGCAGCGACACUAUGUGUUGUUGGGUAGGGGAGCGUUCUGUAAGCCUGCGAAGGUGACCUGUGAGGGUUGCUGGAGGUAUCAGAAGUGCGAAUGCUGACAUAAGUAACGAUAAAGCGGGUGAAAAGCCCGCUCGCCGGAAGACCAAGGGUUCCUGUCCAACGUUAAUCGGGGCAGGGUGAGUCGACCCCUAAGGCGAGGCCGAAAGGCGUAGUCGAUGGGAAACAGGUUAAUAUUCCUGUACUUGGUGUUACUGCGAAGGGGGGACGGAGAAGGCUAUGUUAGCCGGGCGACGGUUGUCCCGGUUUAAGCAUGUAGGCUG
rnacentral:rRNA from 1 species